UACGGAGGGAGCUAGCGUUGUUCGGAAUUACUGGGCGUAAAGCGCACGUAGGCGGCUUUUUUAAGUCAGGGGUGAAAUCCCGGGGCUCAACCCCGGAACUGCCCUUGAAACUGGAGAGCUAGAAUCUUGGAGAGGCGAGUGGAAUUCCGAGUGUAGAGGUGAAAUUCGUAGAUAUUCGGAAGAACACCAGUGGCGAAGGCGACUCGCUGGACAAGUAUGAGCGCUGUAGGUGCGAAGCGUGGGGAGCAAAACAGGAUUGAGAUACCCGUAGGUAGCU
rnacentral:rRNA from 1 species